AUGAGUAGCGUAUCAACAAUGCCGCCCAAGCCUCUCAAGAAGCCCAAGGCCCAGAAGAAAGAGUACGACGAGACCGAUCUGGAGAACUUGAAGAAGAAGGAGGACGAGAAGGCCGUCAAGGAGCUCAAGGCCAAGGCCGCGCAGAAGGGCCCGCUAGGAGGCGCCGGUCUCAAGAAGAGCGGCAAAAAGUGA
rnacentral:rRNA from 1 species